GGUGUGGCUCAAUGGCAGAGCUCUUGCCUAGCAAGUGUGAGGCUCUGGGUUCGAUCCUCAGCACC
rnacentral:tRNA from 1 species